rnacentral:rRNA from 1 species
AUUGAACGCUGGCGGCAGGCCUAACACAUGCAAGUCGAGCGAGCGGCGGACGGGUGAGUAAUGUAUGGGGAACUGCCCGAUGGAGGGGGAUAACUACUGGAAACGGUAGCUAAUACCGCAUACUAUCAGAUGAACCCAUAGUGGAUUAGCUAGUAGGUGGGGUAACGGCUCACAAAGGCGACGAUCUCUAGCUGGUCUGAGAGGAUGAUCAGCCACACUGGGACUGAGACACGGUCCAGACUCCUACGGGAGGCAGCAGUGGGGAAUAUUGCACAAUGGGCGCAAGCCUGAUGCGGCCAUGCCGCGUGUAUGAAGAAGGCCUUCGGGUUGUAAAGUACUUUCAGCGGGGAGGCGUUACCCGCAGAAGAAGCACCGGCUAACUCCGUGCCAGCAGCCGCGGUAAUAC